rnacentral:SRP_RNA from 1 species
GCAGGGCGCGGUGGCCCAAGCCUGUAAUCCCAGCACUUUGGGAGGCCGAGACGGGCGGAUCAUGAGGUCAGGAGAUCGAGACCAUCCUGGCUAACACGGUGAAACCCCGUCUCUACUAAAAAGUACAAAAAACUAGCCGGGCGAGGUGGCGGGCGCCUGUAGUCCCAGCUACUCCGGAGGCUGAGGCAGGAGAAUGGCCCCAGCCUCCGGAGUAGCUGGGACUACAGGCGCCCGCCACCUCGCCCGGCUAGUUUUUUGUACUUUUUAGUAGAGACGGGGUUUCACCAUGUUAGCCAGGAUGGUCUCGAUCUCCUGACCUCGUGAUCCGCCCGUCUCGG